rnacentral:rRNA from 1 species
CCGAUUCAGUUAUAUCGCUCCAUGAACUUCUCAAUCGCCACAGAGAAGGCACCAAAACCCACGCACCCGAUACAUGUAGCUUGAGGGCCACCUGCAACAGCUAAAGCUCCUCCUGUGACACAGCCAGCUACUGCUGAAUUGGUGAUGUCAUGCUUUGCCCGAGCCUGCCAGGACACGCAUUCAGCUGCAGAGAAAAUCAAGCCCAUUACUGCAAAGGUCUUAGCAUGGCUCAUACUUUUCCUACCCAUCUGUUUUGCCUGGUAGACUAUUUGUUGCCUUGCUGUCAUCUCCUCUGCCAUUAUUGGAUUUUCCAAAGCUCCAAAAAAUAGUCCCAUAAGUACACCAAGACCACCCCCUAUGACACCGCUGAGGACGCUCCGGACGGCGCAGUUGUUCAUCAUCUCCUGCCCCUUGAUCUCCUCCGGCGUUGGCAGCCGGAGCGGCUCCACUGGAGCCCUCUGGCCGGCCGCAUCGCCGCCCGCCCCGGCCGCCGCCGCCGAUGGCUCCGGCGAAGACAUCUCACAGUCUGAUCUCCCUCCCCCUCCCGAUAGCGCGACGGCGGAGCUAGCUGCGGGCCUUGGAAACCACUGGAAAGGCAAUGAAGGGGAUUGGAGAAGAAGCCGAGCCGAGAAGUUCCUCAGGGCUCGCUACUUGUCCUCCUUCCCUUGGCUUUCUUUUCCUCCCCUCCAAGAAAAGGGGCGGCGGUAA